AACGAACGCUGGCGGCAGGCUUAACACAUGCAAGUCGAGCGCCCCGCAAGGGGAGCGGCAGCCGGGUGAGUAACGCGUGGGAACGUACCUUUUGGUUCGGAACAACUCCGGGAAACUGGAGCUAAUACCGGAUAAGCCCUAACGUGGAAAGAUUUAUCGCCGAAAGAUCGGCCCGCGUCUGAUUAGCUAGUUGGUGAGGUAACGGCUCACCAAGGCGACGAUCAGUAGCUGGUCUGAGAGGAUGAUCAGCCACACUGGGACUGAGACACGGCCCAGACUCCUACGGGAGGCAGCAGUGGGGAAUAUUGGACGAUGGGCGCAAGCCUGAUCCAGCCAUGCCGCGUGAGUGAUGAAGGCCUUAGGGUUGUAAAGCUCUUUUGUCCGGGAAGAUAAUGACUGUACCGGAAGAAUAAGCCCCGGCUAACUUCGUG
rnacentral:rRNA from 1 species